AUUGAACGCUGGCGGCAGGCCUAACACAUGCAAGUCGAGCGGGGCGGCCGACGGGUGAGUAAUGCCUAGCAAUCUGCCUGGUAGUGGGGGAUAACGUCCGGAAACGGACGCUAAUUCCUCAUACUAUCAGCUGGGCCUGGGUGGGAUUAGCUAGUUGGUGGGGUAAGGGCCUACCAAGGCGACGAUCCGUAACUGGUCUGAGAGGAUGAUCAGUCACACUGGAACUGAGACACGGUCCAGACUCCUACGGGAGGCAGCAGUGGGGAAUAUUGGACAAUGGGCGAAAGCCUGAUACAGCCAUGCCGCGUGUGUGAAGAAGGUCUUCGGAUUGUAAAGCACUUUAAGCGGGGAGGCGUUACCAGCAGAAUAAGCACCGGCUAACUCCGUGCCAGCAGCCGCGGUAAUAC
rnacentral:rRNA from 1 species